rnacentral:rRNA from 1 species
UACGUAGGGGGCAAGCGUUGUCCGGAAUCAUUGGGCGGAAAGCGCGUGUAGGCGGUUCGGUAAGUCGGCUGUGAAAGUCCAGGGCUCAACCCUGGGAUGCCGGUCGAUACUGCCGGACUAGAGUUCGGAAGAGGCGAGUGGAAUUCCCGGUGUAGCGGUGAAAUGCGCAGAUAUCGGGAGGAACACCAAUGGCGAAGGCAGCUCGCUGGGACGUUACUGACGCUGAGACGCGAAAUCGUGGGGAGCAAACAGG